UGCUUUUAUUGUUUGAUCUUAUCCUGCCACACACACAAUGUUUCCCAAGGAUGGAUCUCCGACUCAUAUUAGUUCUUUUUCCAGAAGGUUGAAGCCAAGCAAUCUUUACUGCAUGUCCCCGAAGAAGACAGGAAAACAUGGGAUCUUGGAAUUUGUUAGAACCAUGCUUUUAAACCACACGGACCUGAUACAUGGAAGAAAAGCUUUAUACCACUCAGCUGAGACUCUUUCCUAGCUUGCACAGCCAACUUUGCUCUCCUACUAUUUUGCUUUCUUCUAUGAGGAGAUAGAAGUAUGUAACUAUCUCAAGUGAGAAUGAAAUGAGAACUUUACCAGUGAGCAUGCCAAACUGGAUGGAAAGAAGCCAAUGAGGCCUCAACGCACAGAAAACUACAGGCAACUGAGGAUCUGGGGAACUCAAACAGUGACUUUCCUAGGGAAGAGGAAAUCAACUGGUUCCUGAGUCCAAACAGUCAGCCCUGAAAACAUACAUGCAGACAGCAUUAUUCAUACCAAAUAGGUUAUAUUUAGGAUUAUAUAUGUAUAUAAGUAAAUGCACGCAAUAGCAGUUAGUAAACAAAAAUGACAUGAGUGAGGAGUGAUAAGUGAAAAGGUUUUGAUGGAUAAUGGGAGGGGAGAAAUGCUGUAAAUAAGUUAAAAUUCUCCCUCAACAUUGAAAAGGCAAAAGAAACAGAAAAAAUAAUUUGACUUGGAGGCUCUCAGUAUUCCCCUAGUGUGCAUCUCUGUCAGGAAACUUUAAUUUUGUUGCUGUUUUUGUUUUUAGAAGAAAUGAGUAGGAUUAAAAUUAAGGAUAACUUAAAAGGCUACAUUUCUACAGAAAGAAAAGACAGACCCAAGCUUUUUACCUAGAUUAUUGAGGUCCCAAACGUACUCAACUAUGUUUCACUGUUCUUCUAAAUACAUAAAGAGUUUGGAUUUACAAAGACAGUAACAUAUGGAACAAAAAUAAAUUAUAAUGAGGUGAACA
rnacentral:lncRNA from 1 species